rnacentral:rRNA from 1 species
AUUGAACGCUGGCGGCAUGCCUUACACAUGCAAGUCGAACGGCAGCACGGGUGCUUGCACCUGGUGGCGAGUGGCGAACGGGUGAGUAAUAUAUCGGAACGUACCUUAUUGUGGGGGAUAACGCAGCGAAAGCUGUGCUAAUACCGCAUAAUCCCUAAGGGGGAAAGCGGGGGACCGUAAGGCCUCGCGCAAUUAGAGCGGCCGAUACCUGAUUAGCUAGUUGGUGAGGUAAAGGCUCACUAAGGCAACGAUCAGUAGCUGGUCUGAGAGGACGAUAAGCCACACGGGGACUGAGACACGGCCCAGACUCCUACGGGAGGCAGCAGUGGGGAAUUUUGGACAAUGGGGGCAACCCUGAUCCAGCAAUGCCGCGUGAGUGAAGAAGGCCUUCGGGUUGUAAAGCUCUUUUGUCAGGGAAGAAACAGCAGCUCUAACACAGUUUGCGAAUGACGGUACCUGAAGAAUAAGCACCGGCUAACUACGUGCCAGCCGCCGCCGUAA